rnacentral:rRNA from 1 species
AUUGAACGCUGGCGGCAGGCCUAACACAUGCAAGUCGAGCGGAGCGGCGGACGGGUGAGUAAUGCCUAGGCAUCUGCCUGGUAGUGGGGGAUAACGUCCGGAAACGGGCGCUAAUACCGCAUACUAUCAGAUGAGCCUAGGUCGGAUUAGCUAGUUGGUGGGGUAAAGGCAUACCAGGGCGACGAUCCGUAACGGGUCUGAGAGGAUGAUCAGUAAAACGGGAACUGAGAAACGGUCCAGACUCUAACGGGAGGCAGCAGUGGGGAAUAUUGGACAAUGGGCGAAAGCCGGAUCCAGACAUGCCGCGUGUGGGAAGAAGGUCUUCGGAUGGUAAAGCACUUUAAGUUGGGAGGCGUUACCAACAGAAUAAGCACCGGCUAACUUCGUGCCAGCAGCCGCGGUAAUUC